rnacentral:rRNA from 1 species
GACGAACGCUGGCGGCGUGCUUAACACAUGCAAGUCGAGCGGUAAGGCCCUUUCGGGGGUACACGAGCGGCGAACGGGUGAGUAACACGUGGGUGACCUGCCCUCAGCUCUGGGAUAAGCCUGGGAAACCGGGUCUAAUACCGGAUAUGACUCCAUGACGCAUGUUGUGGGGGUGGAAAGCCUUGUGCGGCUGGAGGAUGGGCCCGCGGCCUAUCAGCUUGGUUGGGUGGGGUGAUGGCCUACCAGGCGACGACGGGUAGCCGGCCUGAGAGGGCGACCGGCCACAC